GGCGGGGCCGGAAGUGGAAAGGCAAGGCGGCGGCUGAGGCGGCUCGGGAGGUUCCGGACCGGAGUAGGUUCCUCCCGCUGCUAUGGGCUGUCCUGAUCGGUGGUGAGGGGGCCUCUGGCGCUAAAGGGGACACGGGACUGGGCCAUGGCCGGCGCUCGGGCCGCCGCCGCUGCCUCGGCGGGGUCUUCGGCUUCUUCGGGCAACCCGCAGCCGCAGGAGCCGGGGCUCGGGGAGCUGCUGGAGGAGUUCUCCCGGACUCAGUAUCGGGCCAAGGAUUUUAGCGGGACGGGAGGCUCUAAGGUUGAGCGCAUUGAGAAGAGGUGUCUGGAGCUGUUUGGCCGAGACUACUGUUACAGCGUGAUCCAGAAUGUGAAUGGGGAUAUCUGCGGCCACUACCCCCAGCACAUCGUGUUCCUGGAGUAUGAGAGUUCUGAGAAGGAAAAAGACACGUUUCAGAGCACCGUGCAAGUGAGCAAGUUGCAAGACCUCGUCAACCGCAGCAAGACAGCCAGGUGCAGAGGACGAUUUGUCUGUCCAGUGAUUCUGUUCAAGGGCAAGCACAUUUGCAGGUCGGCUACCCUUGCCGGAUGGGGGGAGCUGUAUGGACGCACCGGCUACAACUAUAUUUUCUCAGGGGGUGCAGACGACGCCUGGGCGGAUGUGGAGGACGUCACAGAGGAGGAUGGUGCUCUUAGAAGUUCCGACACGCAUCUUUUUGAUAAGGUCAGAGGCUAUGACAUCAAGCUGCUCCGGUACCUGUCAGUCAAAUACAUCUGUGACCUGAUGGUGGAGAACAAGAAGGUGAAGUUUGGCAUGAAUGUAACCUCCUCCGAGAAGGUGGACAAAGCCCAGCGCUACGCCGACUUCACUCUCCUCUCCAUCCCAUACCCAGGCUGUGAAUUUUUCAAGGAAUAUAAGGAUCGGGAUUACAUGGCUGAAGGGCUUAUUUUUAACUGGAAGCAGGACUACGUCGAUGCCCCCCUGAGCAUCCCCGACUUCCUGACUUGCUCUCUGAACAUUGACUGGAGCCAGUAUCAGAGUUGGGAUCUAGUACAACAAACACAAAACUACCUGAAACUGCUGCUUUCUAUAAUUAAUAGUGACGAUGACAGCGGACUGCUGGUUCACUGCAUCUCAGGUUGGGAUCGGACACCGCUCUUCAUCUCUCUCCUGCGCCUUUCCCUGUGGGCUGAUGGGCUCAUUCACGCAUCCCUGAAGCCUGCUGAGAUCCUCUACCUGACUGUGGCCUAUGACUGGUUCCUCUUUGGGCACAUGUUGGUAGAUCGGCUCAGCAAAGGAGAGGAGAUUUUCUUCUUCUGCUUCAAUUUUUUGAAGCAUAUCAUCUCUGAGGAGUUCUCUGCUCUGAAGACACAGAGGAGGAAGAGUUUGCCAGCCCGGGAUGCAGGCUUCACCGUGGAAGAUAUCUGCAUGCUGAGACGAAAGGACCGUGGCAGCACCACCAGCCUUGGCAGCGACUUCUCUCUGGUCAUGGAGAGCUCUCCGGGAGCCGCCGGGAGCUUCACCUAUGAGACUGUGGAGUUGGUCCCUGCAGGAGCACAGACUCAGGCAGCUUGGAGGAAGAGCCACUCGUCCUCUCCACAGAGUGUGCUCUGGAACCGGCCACAGUCCUCAGAGGACCGCCUGUUUUCCCACCAGGGGCUGGUGGAAGCCAAGUCCUCCAGCUCCUCAUCCUCGAACCAUUCUGACAACUUUUUCAGGAUGGGUAGCAGUCCCCUGGAGGUCCCCAAGCCCAGCUGUGUGGGCUGGGCCAGCUCUGUUUGUAUGGGUAUUCGGUUACCUGCUUCCUGAACACACUCACCUGAGCUGGCACAGGAUGCAGGUGCCUCCUGUCAUCUUUAGGUGUCCCCUCUAGCCAGCUAAUCCAGGCUAGCAGUGACAAGUACCUCUCUACUUAGCACAGCCCCUUGCUCUCAAACCCAGGAACUGAGUGGUUGCUCUGCAGUCCUUUGACGGAAGCCUCAAGUGGAAAGAUUCAUGUGGAGCCUGUGCACUCACUCUUGAAAAAGAUGGAAAAGUUGGCUUUUCGACCCCUGGGAUCACAUGCCCUGUCUCUCUCUGUGCUGCCCACUCCGCACCAGAGCUGUCUCCUGGCCGCUUCAAGCAUGGUUCUUGCCUGGUGGUCCUACCUGCUGGACACGGGAAGUACAGGGAAGGGACUAGCCUUGGGGACCCCUCUAACCACAUUCUGUCCAUCUCUCAUUUUUCUAUUGGCACUGUGAGUCUCUGGUUGUCCUAGGGAGUGGGGUUGGAGCCUAAGAAACCGCCACGUUCCCCACUUCAGGGGGCCUCAUCCUACCCAACCUCCUCUACUUCACAUUCCUUCAACACUCUUCUCUUCAGCAGUUGUUUUCCCAAAAACUGGAGGAGAAACUCUGCCUUAAAGUUUGAACAGUAGAUGAGAUCUGUGGAGCCAGGACGAUCCCAAGAGGGUUUGUGUUGACUGAACACCCCAGCCUGACCCAGGGGAAGCACAGGAUCAGUGGACCAUCCCCUGCCCGGAUCCUCUCUCUCCACAGACUUUGGCAGCUGGCAGAUGGUAACAGGCUGUGGCAGUAUUCAGGAACGGGCUGUCCUGCACACAGACUCCUCUCUCCCUUUCAGCUUCCCGGAUG